GUGUGAUGGCGUGCCUUUUGAAGAAUGAGCCUGCGAGUCAGCGGCAUGUCGCGAGGUUAACCCGUGUGGGGUAGCCGUAGGGAAACCGAAUCCUAAUGGGGUGUAAAGUGGCAUGUCCUGGACCCGAAGCGGGGUGAUCUACCCAUGGCCAGUGUGAAGCAGCUGUAAGAGGUUGUGGAGGCGCGAACCCACGUAGGUUGAAAACUGCG
rnacentral:rRNA from 1 species